GUGCAGCGGCGAGAAUACUUUACAAUGUGCGAAAGCACGAUAAGGGAACUCUGAGUGCCUCCUAAGGAGGCUGUUCAGGUGUCUAAAAGCACCUGAAGGAAGGGCUGGGUAAGACCGGUGCCAGCCGCCGCGGUAACACCGGCAGCCCAAGUGGUAGCCACGUUUAUUGGGUCUAAAGCGUCCGUAGCCGGCUGGGUAAGUUCCUUGGGAAAUUUGGCUGCUUAACAGUCAAGCUUUCAGGGAAUACUGCCCGGCUUGGGACCGGGAGAGGUCAGAGGUACUCCAGGGGUAGGGGUGAAAUCCAUUAAUCCUUGGGGGACCACCGGUAGCGAAGGCGUCUGACCAGACCGGGUCCGACGGUGAGGGACGAAGGCUAGGGGCGCGAACCGGAUUAGAUACUCCCGUAGU
rnacentral:rRNA from 1 species